ACGAUUCAGAGGACGGAGGGGUAUUCAUCGAGUGAGAUAUGUCAGGGAGAGGCCUGAACCCGUCAGAGAUGCUGUACUGAGGGGCAAUCGCCGAGCCCAGAGAGUGAGAGAUCCGGAAAGCAAGGUGGAGAUCCUCCAAAAGCUGCUGACAAUUGUGCAGACAAUUCUUCAAAUGUAAAAGUUGUAAGGUGUUAGCUGUGACAUUUUGUUUUAUUUUAUUUUUAAUCACAUGCAAAAUGGAGCCUGACCAGUCUUGUAUAAUUCCCAUACAAUUAGUUAUUGCUGUAGACGAUGUAAACG